rnacentral:lncRNA from 1 species
AUGUGUACUGGCAGGGGCCAAAUGAGGACCCAUGGCUACACUGCUGACCAAAGGUCUUCUCCAGUAACAGGCAAACGACUCUGGACCCAUGAACACCAGGGGAGUGAUCCAGGGAGAGAGAAGAUGUUUCGGGCUCUCCGGUUGCGAAUUCUAAUCCCCAUCGUUUAUCUGAUCCUUUCUCACUCCAAAUGGUUUGGAAAUGCCAGCACACACUCAACUUCCUCAGAGGCACAUCUGUGCUUCGUGGUGCAACAAGGAAAGCCUGGGUGCAGGCACAGAGGAGACUUCACCUCCACCUGUCAGCCUGGGGACACCACGGGCCCUGUGAACAGAGGCCCAGCCGUCACCCAGAGAAGUGUGAGUCAACCGUAUUUCCUCAGUGGCUUGUUCAUUCAUUCGCUUCCUCUCAUUCUCUCCAGUGUUAAUUGUGGACUGGCCAAUGCGUGGGUGCUGAGGUGCAGGGAUGAAAGGCAGGAGAGGGCAGGGAAAGAAGCGUCAGAAACCCCACACCCUCCAGUUCAAAUCCCAGCUCUGCCAUUUCCUAGAUUUGUAACUUAG